rnacentral:rRNA from 1 species
UACGUAGGGUGCAAGCGUUGUCCGGAAUUAUUGGGCGUAAAGAGCUCGUAGGCGGUCUGUCGCGUCGGCUGUGAAAUCCCGAGGCUCAACCUCGGGUCUGCAGUCGAUACGGGCAAACUGGAGUACUGCAGGGGAGACUGGAAUUCCUGGUGUAGCGGUGAAAUGCGCAGAUAUCAGGAGGAACACCGGUGGCGAAGGCGGGUCUCUGGGCAGUAACUGACGCUGAGGAGCGAAAGCGUGGGGAGCAAACAGG